CCUCAAGUGAUCCACCCGCCUCGUCCUCCCAAAGUGCUGGGAUUACAGAUGUGAGCCACCAUGACUGGCCUGUUUGUGUUUCUUCUAAAGGAGAAGGCAAUAUGAAGAUAGAGACAAUGGAGAUUUUAAAACGUUGAUUGGUGGAGACUGGAAAGUUGUGGUCAGAAGCCAAGGAAUGCUGACAGCCACCAUAAACUGGAAGAGGGUCUUGCUCUAUUGCACAGGAGUGCAGUGGUACAAUCAUGGCUGUCUGCGGCCUCAAUCUCCCUGGCUUAAGCAAUCCUCCUGCCUCAGCCUCCCAAAGUAGCUGGGACUACAGAGAUGAGGUGUCGCUAUGUUGGCCAGGCUGAUCUUGAACUCCUGGCUUCAAGAGAUCAUCCUGCCUCGGCUUCCUAAAGUGCUGGGAUUACAGAGGAAAGGCCAUGUGAGGACACAUCAAGAAGGUGGCCAUCUGCAAGCCAGGAAGUGAGGCCUCACCAGACGCCAGCCCUGCUGACUCCUGAUCUUGGACUUUCAGCCUCCAGGACAGAAAUAAAUUUCUAUUGUUU
rnacentral:lncRNA from 1 species